rnacentral:lncRNA from 1 species
CAGGGAAGUCAUCUUCGUCAUUUUGCCCUACCUUCAAAGACAGCCCUUUCUACCCAAUACCAUUCGUCGCACAAACCCAGCCAAAGUGAAAUCGACUCUGGCGCGAACCUCCACCUCAAGUCGGCGAUAAAGCGGCGCAGCGAAGAACACCCAAAGUAAUUUGUUCGUGACUGCCGCACUAACCCACCCAAAGUGAAAUCGACCGUCGCGCUAAACUCCUUCUCCUCCGGCGGAAUAUGCAACUAACAUUCGGUAAGCAUUAUGUUGGGCAUAUCUAUAUUUGCACAAACUAGUGCUCAUUCGUAAGGCUGAAGAACAUAAAUGAAGAUCUGUGAAAUGAAAAUUUAAAAAUUACUUGUAGUUUGGUGUGGAGCCUCCAUUCAGUUAGACAAGAAAUUGCUCGCUAUUUACAAUCUGGCAAUCUUGGAAGGUUCAACCGCAAGUCCGUCACCCAUGAUUUGAGGGGGUGGCUGCAUUCCACUAGUCACAAACUGUAGCCUGCAAAUAGGGCAAGUCUAGCUUCUAACCACAGUUGAUGAUCACAGGAUGUGGUUGCUUGGAUUAGAGUAUUUUAUGUAUUAUAGAGUAUUUUGGUCACAAACUGUAGCCUACAAAUAGACUCCCAGGUUAUUGAAGUCAACUUGAUUAGCCAGCAUUAUCACUUGAGGGGUUCCUGAUGUUCCAAAAUAAUGGGGUGUGGAUGGUAUAGACAAAUUUAAUUGGAAUUUCUUGCACUGAAAACUUUAGGUAGAACUUCCAUGGAUCACUAAGAUUAGAGGAUGAUGGUGAAAGGUAGAACUUUCCCAAUCUCUUGUGCUUAAAUCCAUUGCAUUUGUACCAUCUAAUACUCUGGACCUACAAAUGAUGUAUAGUUCUAUUCCUUUUAUCAGCUUCUAUACAACGGUAAAUGUGAUUGUUACGAGAUAUUUGAACCCAUGAGUUUGUGUUUAUUAUAUUUUCAAUCUUAUGCAUGUAUAAUUAAUCAUGUAACUACAUCUUCGAGUCUAUCUUUUUGACGAGUUUGUUUCAUUUGCAAUAAUCGGCUAUAAUGAGAUGAAAGAAUUUUGGAGUCUAUCACGAUUGCAGAAGCAACACACACUAUGUCAGACAAUGCCAGUUAAAACGUCGAUGCCCUAGUUGUGACCAUGGAUAUCGAAAAUGUGUUGAGGUCAAACAGGAUACUGCUAACAAUGGUCGAUUGUUCUUUACCUGUAGUAACGAAUGUGGGUAUUUCGAUUGGGUGAAAGAUGAAGCUUUAGGCGGGGAAUCGAGUUCCAUUAAUGAUGCUGUCAAUGAGGCACCCGACAGGGAAGACAAAAACUUGCCAAGAUUAUUUAAUGGGCUAGCCAAAAUUAGCGAGAAACAAGGCGUCGACAUUUCAUUGCAUAUGACUUUUAGCAAGGGAAAAGAAAUUGAGAAAUGUGACGGGAAAGGAAAGAGCUCGAUUUAAAGGGGUGAUUUGAGUCAUGUCUUCACUUGAAGCACUAGUAUGAUGUGAAUUUCACUUUGUAUAAUGAUAUAUUGGUUUUAUGUAUGUGUAAUCUGCAUUUCAAUGUGGUUUGUAAGACAAAAAUGGAUGAGUAAGGAUCAUAGUUGGUGAACACCAUGAUUGCAGCGUGGGUUAAUGUAUCC